rnacentral:rRNA from 1 species
GACGAACGCUGGCGGCGUGCCUAAUACAUGCAAGUCGAGCGGACCUCUUCGGAGGUCAGCGGCGGACGGGUGAGUAACACGUGGGCAACCUGCCUGUAAGACUGGGAUAACUCCGGGAAACCGGAGCUAAUACCGGAUAGUAUCUUGAACCGCAUGGUUCAAGUUGGAAAGACGGUUUCGGCUGUCACUUACAGAUGGGCCCGCGGCGCAUUAGCUAGUUGGUGAGGUAAUGGCUCACCAAGGCAACGAUGCGUAGCCGACCUGAGAGGGUGAUCGGCCACACUGGGACUGAGACACGGCCCAGACUCCUACGGGAGGCAGCAGUAGGGAAUCUUCCGCAAUGGACGAAAGUCUGACGGAGCAACGCCGCGUGAGUGAUGAAGGUUUUCGGAUCGU